UGGAGAGGUAGCGUGUACGCAGACCUUUCCCCUGCAUUGAGAAGAUGAUAAUCUUUCAAAGAACCAAAUAUUGUUGAAGUUCACCCCAUUAGCUCAGUUGUUAUUUACAAGUUAAAAUCCAGAAAUCAGAAGAAGACGCUACUUACAUAAAACUUCAUGUGCAGUUAAACGUUUCCUUGGAUCUCGAAUAAGCAUUCUCCUCAUCAAGUCUUUUGCAUCUUCUGAAAUA
rnacentral:misc_RNA from 1 species